CACUUCCUGUGAGAGAUCUCAUGGGUGGGCCAUGUAGGUGGAUUUAUGGGUGGGCAUUGUAGGCAUACUCACGGUCAAGCCCUGGGGGCCCAGACCUUGAGCUGUGUAAGGGGCCCUAAAACAUGGAGCUGCUUCCUGUUCGUUAAUUGUUGUGAGCACUGUUAAAAACAGUCUCCAGAGAGCCUCUUCUACACCAGACCUGUGGAGCCAGACUGAGC